CCUACGGGAGGCAGCAGUCGAGAAUCAUUCACAAUGGGGGAAACCCUGAUGGUGCGACGCCGCGUGGGGGAAUGAAGGUCUUCGGAUUGUAAACCCCUGUCAUGUGGGAGCAAAUUAAAAAGAUAGUACCAUAAGAGGAAGAGACGGCUAAAUCUGUGCCAGCAACCGCGGUAAUACAGAGGUCUCAAGCGUUGUUCGGAAUCACUGGGCGUAAAGCGUGCGUAGGCUGUUUCGUAAGUCGUGUGUGAAAGGGGCGGGCUCAACCCGCGGACGGCACAUGAUACUGGGAGACUAGAGUAAUGGAGGGGGAACCGGAAUGCUCGGUGUAGCAGUGAAAUGCGUAGAUAUCGAGAAGAACACUCGUGGCGAAGGCGGGUUCCUGGACAUUAACUGACGCUGAGGCACGAAGGCCAGGGGAGCGAAAGGGAUUAGAUACCCUAGUAGUC
rnacentral:rRNA from 1 species